rnacentral:rRNA from 1 species
CACACUGGGACUGAGACACGGCCCAGACUCCUACGGGAGGCAGCAGUGGGGAAUCUUGCACAAUGGGCGAAAGCCUGAUGCAGCAACGCCGCGUGGGGGAUGAAGGCUCUCGGGUUGUAAACCCCUUUCAGUGGGAACGAACAUGACGGUACCCACAGAAGAAGCCCCGGCCAACUACGUGCCAGCCGCCGCCGUAACAC